rnacentral:rRNA from 1 species
AUUGAACGCUGGCGGCGUGCUUAACACAUGCAAGUCGAACGAGAACGGGUUAUAGCUUGCUAUAAUUGUCAGCUAAGUGGCGCACGGGUGAGUAAUGUAUAGGUAAUAUGCCUCUUACUAAGGGAUAACAAAUGGAAACGUUUGCUAAUACCUUAUACUCCUUAUUAACAUAAGUUAAUAAGGGAAAGAUUUAUUGGUAAGAGAUUAGCCUGUAUUGUAUCAGUUAGUUGGUGGGGUAAUGGCUUACCAAGACUAUGACACAUAACUGGUUUGAGAGGAUGAUCAGUCACACUGGAACUGAGACACGGUCCAGACUCCUACGGGAGGCAGCAGUGGGGAAUAUUGCACAAUGGACGGAAGUCUGAUGCAGCAACGCCGCGUGGAGGAUGACACAUUUCGGUGCGUAAACUCCUUUUAUAUGAGAAGAUAAUGACGGUAUUAUAUGAAUAAGCACCGGCUAACUACGUGCCAGCAGCCGCGGUAACAC